GAGUUUGAUCCUGGCUCAGAAUCAACGCUGGCGGCGCGCCUAACACAUGCAAGUCGAACGAGAAAGCCGGGGCAACCUGGUGAGUACAGUGGCGUACGGGUGAGUAACACGUGGGUAAUCUACCUCCUUGUGGGGAAUAACUUUGGGAAACCGGAGCUAAUACCGCAUAAGCUCGAGAGAGGAAAGCAGCAAUGCGCAGGGAGAGGAGCCCGCGGCCGAUUAGCUAGUUGGCAGGGUAAAAGCCUACCAAGGCAAAGAUCGGUAGCCGGCCUGAGAGGGCACACGGCCACACUGGCACUGAAACACGGGCCAGACUCCUACGGGAGGCGGCAGUGGGGAAUCUUGCACAAUGGGGGAAACCCUGAUGCAGCGACGCCGCGUGAGCGAUGAAGCCCUUCG
rnacentral:rRNA from 1 species